CCUACGGGUGGCAGCAGUGGGGGAUAUUGCACAAUGGGGGAAACCCUGAUGCAGCGACGCCGCGUGUGGGAAGACGGUCCUCUGGAUUGUAAACCACUGUCCUCAGGGACGAAGAUGACGGUACCUUGGGAGGAAGCUCCGGCUAACUACGUGCCAGCAGCCUCGGUAAUACGUAGGGAGCGCGCGUUGUCCGGAAUUACUGGGUGUAAAGGGAGCGUAGGCGGGGAUGCAAGUUGGGUGUCAAAACUAGCGGCUAAACUGGUAGUCGAACUUAAAACUGCAGCUCUUGAGUGAAGUAGAGGCAGGCGGAAUGCCUGGUGUAGCGGUGAAAUGCGUAGAUAUUAGAAGGAACACCAGUGGCGAAGGCGGCCUGCUAAGCUUUUACUGACGCUGAGGCUCGAAAGUGUGGGGAGCAAACAGGAUUAGAUACCCCGGUAGUC
rnacentral:rRNA from 1 species